AUUUACUUACUGAAACCCGCUUUUGAAUUUUCUUAUUUUGAUUCCUAUCUAUUGGAGCCGUCUGUUCAAUUCAUAUGCUCAUUGAAGGUAUUCGGCCAAUGCUUCCUACUGCCAUAUCUGAUUAAUAAUGUUCUUUGCAGCUAGACUAAACAAAGAAAUGAUUCGAGCUUCUCCUAAAGUAGCUGAUCAGAUGAGAGCUCUUAGAAAUGCUUUUGAUUUUGUCGCUGGUUCUUCUCAUUCAAAUGUUAUUAUUGAAGAUUCAGGCGGCUUUCUGUCCAAGGGAUUGUAGCUUAUUUGGUGUUAAAUGUGACCUCAUUUUUGUUGGAAUGUCUCCUCCAUGGUCCAUAUGAGAAGCUCCAACUUUUGCCUUUAUAUCUGUGUUUCAUCUCUUUAAUGGAAAUCUUCUUGCAUAUUUUGUUCUCCAAAAAAAGAGGGAUUGGUAUUCACUACUGAAGAACAAGCGCAGGUUUGA